UGGGGAAUAUUGGACAAUGGGCGAAAGCCUGAUCCAGCAAUGCCGCGUGAGUGAUGAAGGCCUUAGGGUUGUAAAGCUCUUUUACCCGGGAUGAUAAUGACAGUACCGGGAGAAUAAGCCCCGGCUAACUCCGUGCCAGCAGCCGCGGUAAUACGGAGGGGGCUAGCGUUGUUCGGAAUUACUGGGCGUAAAGCGCGCGUAGGCGGCUUCGCAAGUCAGAGGUGAAAGCCCGGAGCUCAACUCCGGAAUAGCCUUUGAGACUGCGUCGCUAGAAUCCGGGAGAGGUGAGUGGAAUUCCGAGUGUAGAGGUGAAAUUCGUAGAUAUUCGGAAGAACACCAGUGGCGAAGGCGACUUACUGGACACAUAUUGACGCUGAGGUGCGAAAGCGUGGGGAGCAAACA
rnacentral:rRNA from 1 species